AAUCCAAAGAAGCAGAACUCUAUCACUGUUAUAAAAGCUCACUAAGAUGCAAUGGAAAUGAUGCCUGGAUGACAGUGGUGGGACCAAUCUCCAACACUCGGCUGGAUACCUCUUCUACCAAAUCAGGUCUGGAAACAGACACUUGAGCAAGAGGUGUUGGAACCAGUGUUUAAAUUGUGAAAGAUCAUUGCUUCAAGAUGCUGGGACGGCUCUGACAACGAAGAAGGAAAGGUGAGGGAAAAUUCGAAAAUUUUAUUCUUAACUAUAAAGAAUAUUGACUCUGAACUUCUAGAAUACUCAGUGUAGGCAUCCUGGAUUUGGCUUUACUCCUGGACAGGAUUACGAUUUUCAAAAGAGUUUUAAGGUGAAUUUCUGUGGAUCUGAUAUGAAGAUGGGAACAAGAAAUUCCAGCCUAAGGGAAGGAGCAAUGCCAGCUCACUCACACCUUUCUGACAGGAGCUUUUGAUUCUAGUAUCAGGACGCAUCUUGAGCAAAAGAUCUGUUAAGUUUCCCAAGCAUUUCUAUCUUUGUCUCCUCCCUGAUACAUAACACCAGCAUAG
rnacentral:lncRNA from 1 species